UACAGAGGGGGCAAGCGUUGUUCGGAAUUACUGGGCGUAAAGGGCGCGUAGGCGGCCUGCUAAGUCGAACGUGAAAUCCCUGGGCUCAACCCAGGAACUGCGUCCGAUACUGGUUGGCUUGAAUCCGGGAGAGGGACGUGGAAUUCCAGGUGUAGCGGUGAAAUGCGUAGAUAUCUGGAGGAACACCGGUGGCGAAGGCGGCGUCCUGGACCAACACUGACACUGAUGAGCGAAAGCCAGGGGAGCAAACGGG
rnacentral:rRNA from 1 species